GAUGAACGCUGGCGGCGUGCCUAAUACAUGCAAGUCGAGCGAACAGACGAGGAGCUUGCUCCUCUGACGUUAGCGGCGGACGGGUGAGUAACACGUGGAUAACCUACCUAUAAGACUGGGAUAACUUCGGGAAACCGGAGCUAAUACCGGAUAAUAUAUUGAACCGCAUGGUUCAAUAGUGAAAGACGGUUUUGCUGGCACUUAUAGAUGGAUCCGCGCCGCAUUAGCUAGUUGGUAAGGUAACGGCUUACCAAGGCAACGAUGCGUAGCCGCCCUGAGAGGGUGAGCGGCCGCCCUGGGACUGAGACACGGUCCAUGGUCCUACGGGAGGGAGCCGUAGGGAAUCUUCCGCAAUGGGCGGAAGCCUGACGGAGCAACGCCGCGUGAGUGAUGAAGGUCGUCGGAUCGUGGAACUCUGUUAUUAGGGAGUAACAAGUGUGUAAGUAACUAUGCGCGUCUUGACGGUUCCUAGUCAGAAAGGCACGGCUAACUACGUU
rnacentral:rRNA from 1 species